rnacentral:tRNA from 1 species
GGUUUGGCUCAGUGGCACGAGUGCCUGCCUGGCAAGCACAAGGUCCUGAGUUUGAUUCUCAGUACCA